rnacentral:lncRNA from 1 species
CUGCUUCCAGAUUGAGCUCAGAUUCCCUCUGCAUCACCCACCCGCCUGCACGCUGCCCUCCCGUUGGGGGACGAUUCCACGUCAACUCUGCGAGUUUAGGGUUAACAGGGAAGCCCGCAUCCACUGCUAUGCCCCUCGUGUUGAUCACGGUUGAUGACGUAGACAACUUUCUCAAGUCACAAUUAGGGGGAUAACAAUGGCAGGAAUGAUCUCCCUCCCCUCUCUCUGGCUCACCUUUUCUUGCUCUCCACAGCACCGACGGGUAUCCCUCGCUUUUGAAAAAACUGCGUUAUGCCACUUUACCUUUCCAGAACACCUACAUUAGUCCCUGUUUCCACUAAUUAAAAGGAAUCCAAAGAGGAUUUUUUUUUUUUUUUUUUUUUUUUUUUUUGCCUGUACAAAAAAAAGGCAAAAAGUGAAAAGGGUUCAGCGUCGGUUUUGCAACAAAGCUGUUGCAGAGGCAGCUCCGGAACGGGGAGAGUGGCGCCACCCAGCGUCUUUCCCUGGAACUACACUCGGCCUCUCGGCAUCUCAGCAUCUCAGAUUCUCCCCAUCAAACCGCCGGCACUUUGCCCUGUGUGCGCAUCUGUGCCCCAUCUCCAUUUACUUUGUCCGCUAGCAAGCUGUGGCCUAAGUGUGUCUUUUGCCCUUGAAUAUGACAUUUGCCAUGGAUCUGAAAGUGCCUGCGAGCAUGCUUAUCUGAAAACCUCAUUAAGGAACCCAUCGCAGGCGAUGGUGAUCCCACAGCUGAAUCACAGAAUCAUGUGGCAUUGCAUGCGGAAGAAAGGUGGAGAACUAUAUUCUCAUUUUUGUUUUGUUUCUUGAAUAGAAUUUCCUUCACUUGGCCACAAACAGCAGCUAAAAACUGAGGAUGUGAAUACUUUCAGGUUCUCCUAAUAUCACUCAGCUUUAUUUCAACUUUAUCUGAACUGAAAAAAGGGAAGAAAGAGCAUUAAUUAAUUGCCAACUUUGUAUCAAGCAUUAAGAUAGGCGUUUUUGCAUCCAUUAGCUCAUUAACCAUUACUGUGAUGGAUCGGCAGAGGCUGUUCAUUUAUCUAUCAUUGUGUGACAAUGGCCUCAACUCUCAAUGGCUUAAAUAACUUUUUUUUUUUUUUGGUCCAUUUUCAUGAGUUGACUGGGCUCAGCUGGUAAUUCUCGCUUGGAUUCUGUCAUGGGAUUGCAGCUAGAUAGUAACUACGGAUAGAGUCCCCGGAAGGUGCAAAAUAGGCUGAUGUCCAACAUGGCUCAUUCACUAGACUGGUAAGUGAUGUCGUUAUUGUGGAACCAUCCAACAGGGUGCCUACACAUGGCCUCUUCUUACAGUAUGAUGUCUGGGUUUUGACAGAAGGUGUCCCAAGAAUAAGUGUUCAUGAGAAAGGAAGUAGGAGCUCCGGGCCAAUUAACAGCAAUGUCUAAACUGGGGAAUGAUCAUUUCCAAUGAAUUCUAUUGGCCAAAGAAGCCAUAUUGCCAGUCCAGAUUCAAAAGAGUAGAGCAAUAAACCCCCACCUCUUGAAAGGGGAUGGGCA